UUCCAAAUUUGGGAGAAGGAAGGAACAAAAGAUUAAAUCGCUUACGCUUCAUCCACCCAAGGAAGGUUCUUCUAUUCUUUGCAGCCAUAAGGAGUUUCAUCAUCUUGGUCUUGGAAGGACAAGAAAAUAAAUCCAAAUGUGGAUUUCGACGACAUUCAAUUUAUCAAUGAUGAGCUAGAGCAAGUUUUGACACUCAGGACACAAGGAAGUAUAGAUACUUCUAAGGUCCAGCCUUGGGACAAUAGUUCUCAUAUAUUUCACGCUGGCAAUCAACCAAAGAGGCAAAGAUUAAUUUCAGACCUGUUUCAACCUCAGUUUUAUUGUCUGAAGGGGCCAGCAAGAUAACACAUGAAGCCAUUUAUUCCCACAGGGAUGCUCAUAGACGUGCGCUCACUUCUUUUCAUCUUGUUGGUUGCAUUGAUCAUUGAAGUUGAAGGAAAAGUAAACACACUGCAACAUUGUAUAGAUAUUUGUGUGAGAGAUCUGUCUGCUAGAAUUCCUACUGUAGUGAUCAUUCUGAAUUCAGUUUUUAGAGGUCGUGUGGAUUUGUAAAUGUUAAAUCAGUAGGAUCACUGGUGAUGUCAGUUCCAGUACAGGCUUUUGCUACUCGUGUACUUCAAAAAUUGUGUCUAUUUAGUAAACUCUCAAUCUUCUUUUAAGGUUUCCAGCACUAUAUCCUCAUGUUAGCACAUGGUUCCUUUCUUAUUUAUUUUCACUAUAUAUUUGAGACUGUUGAUCCCACAAGUACAUCU